rnacentral:tRNA from 1 species
GGAGGAGUCGGAUAGUGGCCAUUCCACACGCUUGGAAAGCGUGCGAGCGCAAGCUCACGUGGGUUCGAGUCCCACCUCCUCCGCCA